rnacentral:lncRNA from 1 species
GGAAGACGAGGAGAACAAGGUGGACGAGGAGGACGAGGAUUUGUGCACGGGUUAGAAUUAUCUGAUUUAAAAAGAGUCCUGCAAAACGAUUUUGGGAUAUGCUGAUAUCGAUUUAUUCACACCCAGUAUCAACAUAAUUUUGCAACGAAUCAAAACUUACGGCUGAAAAACAUCAAAUUUGCACUGGAUUUUUAACGAGGUGGAUAAGAAAAAUCACAAACUCGUAGGGACAAAGUUCCAGUUCCAGUUUAUUCAAUGCAGUACAAGUGUUCAGGUGUCAGUGUAUACUACUUUACCAAGUUUCCAAAUACUAUGAAUCUAUUAUGUUAUACUAGUACAUUACACUAAUGAUUUUAUACCAAUAAUUACUAUAAUAAUAUUUUCAUUGAUAUAAUUAGUAUGUUAUUUCUAUAUAGAAUAGAUACUGCGAUAUGUAUUGCAUUGAGCAGAAUAUGAACAAUGUUGUAUAAAAUGGUUCUUAAUGUUGUUUGUAAGCGCAGUUUGGGUUCCAGUCUGAGUACCUACAAUGCUAAAAGCUACAAUGCACCUCUGCAGGAUUCAAGAUGUGUAAUGUUGUAUUACUAUUAUAUGUAAUAUUGAAUAAAUUGAAUAACAUCUACUGGAA